GUCGAGGGGCAUCAUGGCGGUCGCUUGCGACCGCUGAUGGCGACCGGUGCACGGGUGCGUAACGCGUAUCGAACCUGCCGCAUACCCGGGGAUAGCCUUGCGAAAGCAAGAUUAAUACCCGAUGUUCUCACUGUUCCGCAUGUUACGGUGAGCAAAGAAUUUCGGUAUGCGAUGGCGAUGCGUCCCAUUAGCUAGUUGGCGGGGUAACGGCCCACCAAGGCUCCGAUGGGUAGGGGUUCUGAGAGGAAGGUCCCCCACACUGGAACUGAGACACGGUCCAGACUCCUACGGGAGGCAGCAGUGAGGAAUAUUGGUCAAUGGACGCAAGUCUGAACCAGCCAAGUAGCGUGCAGGAUGACGGCCCUCCGGGUUGUAAACUGCUUUUAGUUGGGAAUAAAAGGGGGCUCGUGAGCCCCGUAUUGUAUGUACCAUCAGAAAAAGGACCGGCUAAUUCCGUGCCAGCAGCCGUGGUAAUACGGAAGGUCCGGGCGUUAUCCAGAUUUAUUGGGUUUAAAGGGAGCGUAGGCCGGCUUUUAAGUCAGCUGUGAAAGUCCGCGGCUCAACCGUGGAAUUGCAGUUGAAACUGGAGGCCUUGAGUGCACACAGGGAUGCCGGAAUUCAU
rnacentral:rRNA from 1 species